rnacentral:rRNA from 1 species
UGGGGAAUAUUGCACAAUGGGGGAAACCCUGAUGCAGCGACGCCGCGUGAACGAAGAAGGUAUUCGUAUCGUAAAGUUCUGUCCUAUGGGAAGAUAAUGACAGUACCAUAGAAGAAAGCUCCGGCUAAAUACGUGCCAGCAGCCGCGGUAAUACGUAUGGAGCGAGCGUUGUCCGGAAUUAUUGGGCGUAAAGGGUACGCAGGCGGUUUAAUAAGUCGAAUGUUAAAGAUCGGGGCUCAACCCCGCAAAGCAUUGGAAACUGAUAAACUUGAGUAGUGGAGAGGAAAGUGGAAUUCCUAGUGUAGUGGUGAAAUACGUAGAUAUUAGGAGGGAUACCAGUAGCGAAGGCGACUUUCUGGACACAAACUGACGCUGAGGUACGAAAGCGUGGGGAGCAAACAGG